GUCGGUGUAGUACAAUGGAAGUAUAGCGGAUCUAGGCCCGAAGACCCAGUGUUCGAUACCUGGCGCCGACC